CUUCACUUUAUGACCUCCAUCCCACCAACCCCAUCCCACCACUCUCAUUUCAUCUACACUCUCCACCAUCUCCAUCCCUUCAUCCCCAAACCAUUGCCUCAAUUCCAUCACCCCCAUCCCAUCACCUCAUCCCAUCCCAUAACUUCCACCCCCAUCCCCACUCUCAUCCAUCAGCCCCAUCAUGCCCAUCCCAUCACUCCCUCUACCGUCCCAUCCCAUCACGUCCACCUCCUGACCCCCACCCCACUAUCCUCAUCCCAUCACCACCACCGAUUCUCCACCACUCCCAUCCCAUCACCCCCAAAUCAACAUCCCCAUCCCACCAUCCCCAGACUUACUUCCAUACCAUCCCCGCACAAUCCUCACUCCAUCACCCUCACACCCAUCCCAUCGCUUCCAUCCCCUUCCCACCACUCUCAUCCCAUCAGUCCCAUCACCCCCUCCACGAUCCCCUGUAUCAUCCCAUCAGUCCCAUCACUCCCAAUCCAGCACCCCAUCCCCACCCCGGGUAACCUCUUCCCCGCAGUGCCCGUCCCAUCUCGGGCUGCCCCCUCGGUUCCGGCCGCCGGGAGCCGCUAUGGACAGCGUGGGCCGGGAGAGACAGCCAUGGGAGUGGGAACGGCGAUGGCUGAAACCCUUGAUUUGGGGUUUGCCCGGAGGCUGGGGGUGGAGGAGGGUGGCCCGGGUUUUUUAAGGCAAGCAGAAAUUUGAUUAUAGCGUACGGCAGCGCUCUGUGAUUUGAGGCUAGCGGAUUUCAUUAACUGCUGUCGUUUGAGUCCCGGAAAACCCGGGCAGGGCCGCAGGGCCGGGGACGAAGGUGACCCCGAGGGCGGACAGCGAACGGGGGCUCCGGGCGUGGCGCCGGCGGCUCCAGGCUGCGGCGGUUGCGGAGCGGUGCGGCUCCGGGCACGGCUCGGACUGGCCGCGCUGCGGAGGCUCCGCCGGGACCCGGCACCCCUCGCUCGGCCCACGCCCGGCCCCUCCACCUGCUCCGGCGGAGAGCUGAGGAG
rnacentral:lncRNA from 1 species